rnacentral:rRNA from 1 species
AUGGCGGCGGUGGCCGCGCCCGCGGCCGAGGCGCAGCCGCAGGCGGAGGAGCCCUCCCCUCCCCGCCCGCCGCCCCCCGAGAAGCGCGCCGCGCCGACGGACGCCGAGGAGGGGGACGAGCGGCCGGAGCCGAAGCGGCGGCGCGCGCGUGUGGCCGCGCUCGAGAAGGUCCCCAGCGCCGCGGCGGCUGCUGCCGCGGCUGCCAGCGAGGAGGAGGACGACGGGUUCUCGUUCCUCGCGCGGAGCUUUUCCGGGGUGGAGACGACGCCCAAGUUCGGGUCCUUCAACCCCGCCGCCGCCCAGUUCGUGGCCUUCCACCUGGCGCGCCCGCCGCCCCUGGUCGACCCGGCGGAGGGCUCCCCGCCGGUGGCGGUGGGUGGCGACGGGGAGGAGAAGGGCAAGGACGGCAAUUCACACUAG